UGGACAGAAAGAAGGAUAAGAAAGACAAAAAGGCAAAGAAAGAGAAAAAGGCGAAAAAGGAGAAGAGAAAAGAAUGAUGAUGACUUGGACUCAUUUAUUUUUUUGGGUUUUCGU
rnacentral:ribozyme from 1 species